UACGUAGGGAGCAAGCGUUGUCCGGAAUCAUUGGGCGUAAAGCGCGUGUAGGCGGCCCUGAAAGUCUGGUGUGAAAACUUGAGGCUCAACCUCAAGCUGUCGCUGGAUACUGCAGGGCUUGAGUCCGGAAGAGGAGUGUGGAAUUCCUGGUGUAGCGGUGGAAUGCGCAGAUAUCAGGAGGAACACCUAUGGCGAAGGCAGGUCUCUGGGCCAUUACUGACACUGAGAAGCGAAAGCAUGGGGAGCGAACAGG
rnacentral:rRNA from 1 species